UAAGAAGCUAGUAAGUAGAGUCUUCUCUCUAAAAUUGGAGCUUCAAACUUUUCUCUAACUUCUCUCUAGAAUCUCUCCUUCAAAACCUCUUCAAAUCACCAAUUUUCCUUCACCAAACUUGUUCUCCUCACUCACCUCUUCACAACCAUACCAUUUUCAUGGUGUGAAGCAAAUUAUUGUGGUUAAUAUCCUCAUGAACAGCCAUGGCUUUGAAGGUCCAAGGAGUUAUGGAGUUAUGUUCUUGAGUUCUCUUGAAGAGUAUCACUUGUGUUCUUGAUUCUCUUGAGUUUUGUGUGUGUUCUUGUUUAAAGGAUCAUCCUUGUUUGUAAAAAGUGAAGCUUGGAGCUAAAGGUGUGAGUUUUGAACCAAGAAAUGGUUGAUUGAUGUGUAAAGGUGUACCUAGAGAUCCUUGCACUUGAGGAUUGUAUUGGAGCAUACGUAUAAUAUUGGAGUUGGGCUUGAUAAGCUCAGUGAGGUACUCAGAGUAGCAGUGAUGCUUCUAGAGGCAAGGCCCCCGCCUUGGAGUAGUUGAUGAUGCUGCUAAUUAUUUAUAUUAUGACUAGACUCUGUGAUGACAUGUAUAAUCAUUAACAUGUCCAAUUAUCUUAUGUUGAGAUUAUGUUAUGUAUUUACU